UAAAUAGCUUAUUGAGCGUAGUUUUGAAGCAGCUAAGGAGGAAAAGUUUUCCUUUAGGAAU
rnacentral:tRNA from 1 species